GCCGGGUGUGGUGGUGGGCACCUGUAAUCCCAGCUACUUUGGAGGCUGAGGCAGGAGAAUUGCUUGAACCUGGGAAGUGGGGAUUGCAGUGAGCCAAGAACGUGCCACUGCACUCCAGCCUGGGUGACAGAGCAAGACUCUGUCUCAG
ensembl:misc_RNA Metazoa_SRP Metazoan signal recognition particle RNA